AGGGUCAGGCGGGCACGCACGCCGACACAGACACGCGAGAUGCGUGUGCUUACGCCACUUCUGGAGACCUUUGCCGCGUCUCUGGGCCUGCGCUCUACAAGAGAGCUGACAUUCUCUUCUCCCGCACAGGCACACGCAUAUGGAGUAACACAAGAUCGACACCGGCAACAGCGUUACCGGGACGUGUCAUGAGGGAAAGAGAGGAUGGCACGCCAGGCAAUGCGGCAGCUGCAACGAGAGCAGCGCUGCCGUCCGUAGGGCUUUUUCGAAUCGUCUAAAAGCAGCAGCCGCAAAACGGCGACAUGCAUCUCACUCCCCCGCCUUGCGUUGCCGGCACCGCUGCAUAUAUGUGAGACCUUUACGGCGAGCCACAAGAACAAAGUCGCACCGCAUUUUGACCAGCCGCGCUUCGCUCCCCACCCUGAGACUUCUGUACGAACGGCGAGAGUCCACGCCGACGCUCGCUUGGGCACCGAUUGGGUCACCCUGGUCCUUGCUCUGGAGUGCGU
rnacentral:misc_RNA from 1 species